GAUAUCAGUUGUUAUAUGUCAACUUCUUUUGUUUGUUGGAUAGUUGUUUCUUGUCAUGGAUUGAGCAACAAGAAGAUGCUCCUUGGAAGCAAUGGUUCAAAUCUUUUCGGCCUUUGAAGGACAAAACAGGUCAAGGUAGAUGACUCAUGCUAUCCCUUGGAAGCAUUCAUUUAUUGUUCUCAAUCCCCUGUUGGAUGAAGAUAGCAUUUCAAUUUUUUUUUCUUAC
rnacentral:misc_RNA from 1 species